CGGACCGGCGCACGGGUGAGUAACGCGUAUGCGACCUGCCCGUUGCAGGGGGGAUAAUCGGGAGAAAUCCCGUCUAAUACCGCGUAACGCCGCGGGCUGCAUGGCCCUACGGCCAAAGGGAGCGAUUCCGGCAACGGAUGGGCAUGCGUGACAUUAGCUAGUUGGCGGGGCAACGGCCCACCAAGGCGACGAUGUCUAGGGGUUCUGAGAGGAAGGUCCCCCACACUGGUACUGAGACACGGACCAGACUCCUACGGAAGGCAGCAG
rnacentral:rRNA from 1 species